GGUGUCGUGGCUCUCGAGACCUGAAGGACCUUGUCCCGACCCUCGCUGUCUGUGGCGCGGACGCCGAGCCUUUCCGCGGAGUGCGGUGGGGUGCGGGGGGCUGGGGACGCGGCGGCCGGGCGGUGGAGUCGGCUUUUCAGGAAGCCCUCAGCCCGCGCCGCGGACGCGCUCUCUCCUCCGAGGGUGUCAGUAAUAUACACUAAUGUGAACGAAUCCAGUAAAAAGAGUGGCUUGAAAAGUAACCAGCAUGAAUAACAUGGUAUCAUCUACGGAAAAAUCCACUCCAGCUUCAGAAUACCUGGCUUAAAAAGAACUUUCAUAAUGGACCCAUUUCAUGGGAUUGUUUUAUCCUGCAUUCUUGGGGUCUUAGACUGCUUACCUAGAGUUUUAAGAUCUAUGUGAACUAACUCUUCUUUUGGUAAGUUAAUAAUGAAAUAAAAUAGUAUCCAAGCUAAAUCAACUAUUGGAUGUGUUUUAUUAUUUUUUGUUAUGUUUUUGUGACACUUGUACAUGGUGAAGAAGUAACUGAGCAAAAAUGCUACAUAGUAUGUUCACAACUCAUUUUGAAUAUUGUGUGUUUUUUAUAAAAAUUACCUGUCUUUAUGUAUAAUUGUAGAAUUUUGAGGUAUGUUUAUUAAAGUCCUUCCAGGGAUAUGUUGUACUAUUAGAUUGCAGGUUAAGGGGAAGCUAUAGAAUCCUUUUUACCAGUUUUACCUUUGAUAGUUGUGCUUUUAUAUACAACAUAAUGUGAACAGCCAAUGUAAAUUUUUAAAAUUUGUAGUUAUAUUUAUCUCUGUGCUGUGCACAUUUUAUUUUUCUCACUUUCUCUCCUCAAAUAAAUUAUGAGCUUUUUUUAACACCA